CGUUGACACAUCGAUUCCCGUACGAUCACUGAAGUUAAGCAACGACUAAGCCUGGGAAGUACUUAGAUGGGUGACCACUUGCGAAUAACAAGUUAGCCGU